CCGAGUACCGGGUCUUCUAGGCCCUUACUCCCACCCCUUGUGUAUCUACCUUUUUUUCGUUGCCUCGGCGGGGUCGAUCCCUGGGCCUCGCGGCCCGGGGGGACCUGCCGGGGGGACACUUCUAAACUAUUGUUAACUGUACCGUCUGAGAACAAACUUAACAAGUUA
rnacentral:misc_RNA from 1 species